CCCUUAGAUGUCCGGGGCCGCACGCGCGCUACAAUGGAUGAAUCAACGCGUCAUCCUGGCCCGAAAGGGUUGGGGAACCGCUGAACCUCAUCCGUGGUUGGGGUUGGGGUUUGUAAUUAUUCCCCAUGAACUAGGAAUUCCCAGUAAGCGCGAGUCAUAAGCUCGCGUUGAUUACGUCCCUGCCCUUUGUACACACCGCCCGUCGCUACUACCGAUUGGAUGGUUUAGUGAGAUCCUCGGAUUGGUCACGGCACGGUGGCAACACUGCGUCGGUGUGCCGAGAAGACGAUCAAACUUGAUCAUCUAGAGGAAGUAAAAGUCGUAACA
rnacentral:rRNA from 1 species